AUGGCGGCGUGGAUAAGACAUGCAAGUCGAACGCCCAUCACGAGGUAGCAAUAUUUCGCGGUGGGAGUGCGCAAGGGUGCGUAACACGUGGGUAAUCUGUCGCGAAGUCCGGGAUAACUUGCUGAAAGGCGAACUAAUACCAGAUGUGACUGUCGGGAGGCAUCUCCUGGCAUUCAAAGUUGGGGACCGUAAGGCCUGACACUUCACGAUGAGCCCGCGGCCUAUCAGCUAGUUGGUGAGGUAACGGCCCACCAAGGCUAAGACGGGUAGCUGGUCUGAGAGGACGACCAGCCACACUGGAACUGAGACACGGUCCAGACACCUACGGGUGGCAGCAGUCGAGAAUUUUUCUCAAUGGGCGAAAGCCUGAAGGAGCGACGCCGCGUGGGGGAUGAAGGGCUUCGGCCUGUAAACCCCUGUCAUUUGCGAUCAAGGCGACCGACCUAAUACGUCGGGCGUUGAUAGUAGCGAAAGAGGAAGGGACGGCUAACUCUGUGCCAGCAGCCGCGGUAAUACAGAGGUCCCAAGCGUUGUUCGGAUUUACUGGGCGUAAAGGGUGCGUAGGUGGCAAGGUAAGUUCGGUGUGAAAUCUCCAGGCUUAACCUGGAAACUGCACUGGAUACUAUCUAGCUCGAGGAUCGUAGGGGAGACUGGAAUUCUCGGUGUAGCAGUGAAAUGCGUAGAUAUCGAGAGGAACACCAGUGGCGAAAGCGAGUCUCUGGACGAUCCCUGACACUGAGGCACGAAAGCUAGGGGAGCAAACAGGAUUAGAUACCCUGGUAGUCCUAGCCCUAAACGGUGCAUGUUUGCUGUGGGAGGAAUCGACCCCUUCCGUGGCGAAGCUAACGCGUUAAACAUGCCGCCUGGGGAGUACGGCCGCAAGGUUAAAACUCAAAGAAAUUGACGGGGGCCUGCACAAGCGGUGGAGUAUGUGGCUUAAUUCGAUUCAACGCGAAGAACCUUACCUGGCCUUGACAUGUAGGUGGUAGAAGCCUGAAAGGGCAACGACCCCGCGAGGGGAGCUUACACAGGUGCUGCAUGGCUGUCGUCAGCUCGUGUCGUGAGAUGUUGGGUUAAGUCCCGCAACGAGCGCAACCCUCGUGUCCUGUUGCGACCCGGAUGAGAAUUCGGAGCACUCUGGACAGACUGCCACAUUUUCAUGUGGAGGAAGGUGGGGAUGACGUCAAGUCAGGAUGGCCCUUACGGCCAGGGCUGCACACGUACUACAAUGCCCGGUACAAAGAGAAGCAAGACCGCAAGGUGGAGCUAAUCUCGCAAAACCGGGCCCAGUUCAGAUUGUCGGCUGCAACUCGCCGACAUGAAGCUGGAAUCGCUAGUAAUGGCGCAUCAGCUACGGCGCCGUGAAUACGUUCCCAGGCCUUGUACACACCGCCCGUCACAUCAUGAAAGCCGGUUGUACCCGAAGUCAGCGCGUUAACCGCAAGGAGACAGCUGCCGAAGGUAUGGCUGGUGAUUGGGAUGAAGUCGUAACAAGGUA
rnacentral:rRNA from 1 species